UACGUAAGGACCGAGCGUUGUCCGGAAUCAUUGGGCGUAAAGGGUACGUAGGCGGUUAGACAAGUUAGAAGUGAAAGCCUAUUGCUCAACAAUAGAAAGCUUUUAAAACUGUUUAACUUGAGAGAUGGAAGGGUAAGUGGAAUUCCUAGUGUAGCGGUGAAAUGCGCAGAUAUUAGGAGGAACACCGGUGGCGAAGGCGGCUUUCUGGCCAUUAUCUGACGCUGAGGUACGAAAGCGUGGGUAGCAAACAGG
rnacentral:rRNA from 1 species